UACGUAGGGUGCAAGCGUUGUCCGGAAUUAUUGGGCGUAAAGAGCUCGUAGGCGGUCUGUCGCGUCGGAUGUGAAAACCCAGGGCUCAACCCUGGGCCUGCAUUCGAUACGGGCAGACUAGAGUUCGGUAGGGGAGACUGGAAUUCCUGGUGUAGCGGUGAAAUGCGCAGAUAUCAGGAGGAACACCGGUGGCGAAGGCGGGUCUCUGGGCCGGCAUUGACGCUGAUGAGCGAAAGCUAGGGGAGCAAACGGG
rnacentral:rRNA from 1 species